GGGGAUUUAGCUCAGAGGUAGAGCGCUUGCCUAGCAAGCGCAAGGCCCUGGGUUCAAUCCCCAGCUCCG
rnacentral:tRNA from 1 species